CCCCCGCCAGUGGUCACAGCCUUUACUUUCCGCCUAGAGUGGACGGCCGGCUCCUCCUGCUGCUGCCCCCCUGCGGCUCCAACAACAAUUGCAGCAUUUCUGGAUUCCAGCAAAAAACAUAGGCGUGUUGCAACCGUGUUUGUUAUCCCGGAAUAUCUAUCCAUAUAUCUGUGAAUAUAGCUAUCCACGCAAUCCGGUCCUUGAUUUCUGGGAAGAAGUAACGCCUGUCCUACACAUGCCGUGGGAGUGAGAUGGUAGGAUCUUGAGUAACAUUCUGGGCUGACAUCCUUGCCACAUGUGAAACAUGAUGUCUGGACACACUAUCACUAUUUCCUCUAGUCACUGAAUCAAGAACAUUUCUUUGGUGCCCCCUUGGAAUGCCAACAGCUAAGAACAGUGUCUCCUACGCAGACUCUCUGCAGGAAGUCCUCUAACUGGUCUAAAGGACCAGAUCUUCUGAAUGUUCAGGGCUGUGGAGAGCGGAGACCAUAAGGGUUGCUGACAGUAUGACCAGCAUAAGUGCCUACUGUGAUUCCAGGUUUCAUCUCUGGGGUUGCCAUACUCCUUGUUCCAGACAGACCCAUAAAGCUUUGCAAGGUCUAUGGCUGAAAAUUAUGUAACAGGUACAGCCAGACCCAAAUGACAUUCACAACUCUUCUAUAUUUGAUACAACUUGCAAAGACACAGGAAUCCUGCUGGGAUAGUUGGCUAGCAACUCUGUGCUCAUGUUUUUCUUUCGGAUGCCAGCCCAUCUCUGAUGCUAUUCAAUAAAAGUGUUAACUUUGA